UACGGGGGGGGUAAGCGUUGUUCGGAAUUACUGGGCGUAAAGGGCUCGUAGGCGCCAACUAAGUCGGACGUGAAAUCCCUCAGCUUAACUGGGGAACUGCGUCCGAUACUGGAUGGCUUGGAUUGGGAGAGGGAUGCGGAAUUCCAGGUGUAGCGGUGAAAUGCGUAGAUAUCUGGAGGAACACCGGUGGCGAAGGCGGCAUCCUGGACCAAUAUUGACGCUGAGGAGCGAAAGCCAGGGGAGCAAAGCGGG
rnacentral:rRNA from 1 species